rnacentral:lncRNA from 1 species
GAGAACUCAUUUGCUCACUGUUUGUGACCAAGUCAACACUCACAGGACUCCUGUGGUCAUCUGUGGAUGUGCACAGAGGGGCAAAAGUGUGGUUUUCUGACGUGUUUGUUCCCAACGGAGGCGGAACAAGUUGAUGCUCUGCCUUCUUGUGUCAGCUUUCCCGCUGUAAACACGUGCCCUUUCCGCGGUCUCUUUAGUGCAUGUUCUUCAUACUUUCGUGUGUUUUGCUGGUGAUUCAUCACGUAAAACCGUCACCAAGGGUGGUGCUGAAGAACCCCAUUCAGGCAUGCGGUACAUUGAGCACAUCAGCAGUAGUGUGAGAUGCGGUGUCCUCAGGCGGAAACGCACACGAGGUGAGGUGAGGUAUUGGCUGACAGAUUAAAGCAUUGGGACUAGAGGAGUCUAAUCCUGUGUCUCCUUAGAAGCAAAGUGCAGCAUUCACCAACUCAGUGCUGUGCGACUCUGUAGAGCCUAAUGCCGCCAAUGGCAGAGAACCCAUCCCGGUACGUGGAUGCCGGACCCGCCGACGUCAGAGAACCCCUCCGGGUACGGGGGUGUCAGACCCGCCAAGGGGCUUUGAAACUCCUGUCCUCUCGUCCAGCGCCUCGGGCCCUCGGCAGGGUGUCCCGGUGCUCAAGAUUGGUCCUGAGUGGCGUUGUAACACCCUCGCAAAGCACAUUUGCUCAGGCAGCUGAACUCGAAAUAGAAAGCGAACGGAGGCCUAUGGGGCACCUUUCCUGGAUCCCUCCUCCGCGUUUGCAAUUUUCUCCGGUUUCUCAGUGACGACGAAGCCACACAGACACGGGUCUCAGGCACGCGGCGGGCUCUGUGACGAGGAGCCAGGCCUCCGCGCCCCCCAGACACCCGGCCCGGGCUUCGCACGCGAGUCAGGCAAGUAGACUCGUGUACCUAGGCCGCAGAAGUCUCCAGCGGCACGUGGGCACGUCAGUGUCGAACAAAGACGUUGCCGUCUCCCGGUCUGACAUGCACUUCACUUACCG